GACGAACGCUGGCGGCGUGCUUAACACAUGCAAGUCGAACGGUGACGAUCAAGCUUGCUUGGUCUGAUCAGUGGCGAACGGGUGAGUAAAACGUGAGUAACCUGCCCCUGACUCUGGGAUAACCCCGGGCAACCGGAGCGAAUACCGGAUACGCCACCCCUCCGCAUGGGGAGCGUGUGGCAAGUUUUUCGGUCUGGGAUGGACUCGCGGCCUAUCAGCUUGUUGGUGAGGUAAUGGCGCACCAAGGCGACGACGGGUAGCCGGCCUGACAGGGCGACCGGCCACACUGGGACUGAGACACGGCCCAGACUCCUACGGGAGGCAGCAGUGGGGAAUAUUGCACAAUGGGCGAAAGCCUGAUGCAGCGACGCCGCGUGAGGGAUGACGGCCUUCGGGUUGUAAACCUCUUUCAGCAGGGAAGAAGCGCAAGUGACGGUACCUGCAGAAGAAGCACCGGCUAACUACGUGCCAGCAGCCGCCGCCG
rnacentral:rRNA from 1 species